UGCGUAGGCGGCCCGGGAAGUUGGGUGUGAAAUCCCUCAGCUUAACUGAGGAAUUGCAUUCAAAACUGCCGGGCUUGAGGGAGACAGAGGUGAGCGGAACUUAGGGUGGAGCGGUGAAAUGCGUUGAUAUCCUAAGGAACACCGGGGGCGAAAGCGGCUCACUGGGUCUUUUCUGACGCUGAGGCACGAAAGCUAGGGGAGCGAACGGGAUUAGAUACCCCGGUAGUCCUAGCCCUAAACGAUGAGCACUGGAUCGGAGAACAUCCCAUAGUUUUCUGGUCGUAGCAAAAGCGUUAAGUGCUCCGCCUGGGGGGUAUGGUCGCAAGGCUGAA
rnacentral:rRNA from 1 species